rnacentral:rRNA from 1 species
UACCAGCUCCCCGAGUGGUAGGGAUGUUUAUUGGGCUUAAAGCGUCCGUAGCCGGCUUAGCAAGUCUCCUGUUAAAUUCAGCGACCUAAUCGUUGAGCCGCGGGAGAUACUACUAGGCUAGGAGGCGGGAGAGGUCAACGGUACUUCCGGGGUAGGGGUGGAAUCCUAUAAUCCCGGGAGGACCACCAGUGGCGAAGGCUGUUGACUAGAACGCGCUCGACGGUGAGGGACGAAAGCUGGGGGAGCGAACCGGAUUAGAUACCCGGGUAGUCCCAGCUGUAAACGAUGCGAGCUAGGUGUUGGGGUGGCUACGUGCCACUUCAGUGCCGCAGGGAAGCCAUUAAGCUCGCCGCCUGGGGAGUACGGCCGCAAGGCUGAAACUUAAAGGAAUUGGCGGGGAGCACCACAAGGCGUGAAGCUUGCGGUUC